rnacentral:lncRNA from 10 species
AUUGUUAGGCACCAGCUCAAGCAAUCAGGCUUUCUUUGUAUUAGCUGAAAAACAAGGAAAUCGCACAUCCACGCCUAACUGCCUCACACCUGUGCUUGCAAAAGUGGCAGAAGCACUGAGCAUCUUGUGACUAAUCUGGAAAAUUGUCUACUUCAAGCAAAGUGACUUUCAGUGUUUCAGUCAAUGCCACCACCAUAUCCAGAGGCAACCACUGUUCUGAAAUUCUUCCAUCAUAGUUUAGUUUAUUCUGCUCUAGAGGGUAUAUAAAUGGAAUCACAAGAAAGAGUCUUGCUCUGUUGCCCAGGCUGGAGUGCAGUGGCAUGAUCACAGCUCACUGAAGCCUCAACCUCACGGGCUCCAGUGAUCCUCCCACCUCAGCCUCCCAAGUAGCUGGGACUACAGUCAUGCACCACCACAGCUGGCUAAUUUUUUAUUCUUUGUAGAGACAGGGCCUCGUUUUGUUGCCCAAGCUGCCCUGGAAUGCCUGAGCUCAAGCAAUUCUCCUACCUUGGCCUCCCAAAGUGCUGGGAUUACAGGUGUGAGCCACUGUGCCUGGUGUUUUCAUUUUUUUAAACACAGCGUGGAUUGUGGUUGCUUUUUCAGGUCAAAAAUAUUCUAUUACAACGCGAUUUUAUAUGACUCCAUAAUCUUUCAAUCUACAAGUAUAGAUAAUUUAUUUAACCAAUCUAUUACCGUCUUUUUCUUCUAAUUUUCCACCAUUAAAAACAGUGGUAUAAUGAACAUUUUUAUGACCACUGCUUGUCACACAUUUCUAAUUAUUUCCUGAAGGUAACUUCCUACAAGUAGAAUUGAAUAUUUUGGCAGGUGCAGAUACAUAUUUUCAUGUUACUCCAUAAAGAGAUUUACCUAUUUGCAUUCUGACUUCAGUAUAUGAAAGUUCUGUUUCCUCAAACCUUUGUCAACACGGGUUAUUAUCAAUCUUUUGUAAAUUUGCCAAUGUAAUGGAUGGAUUUUUAGUUUGUAUUUGUUUGAUUGCUAAUGAAGAUAAAUAUUUCUUCAUUUAUUUAUUGGCCAUUUUUAUUUCUUCCUUUGUGAUUUACAUAUUUAUGUUCUUUGUCCAUUUUCCUACUCGAGUUUCCAUCUUUUUAAAAUUAACUUGUAAGAACUGUUUAAGUAGACCAAUUAUACUUAAUAUCUGCUGCAAACAUUUUCUCAUUUGCUGUUUUCCUUUCAUUUUUAUUUAUCAUGGAUUUUUAACAUACAAAAAGUGUUUAAUAUGUUUG